rnacentral:tRNA from 1 species
AGGCGCGUAGCUCAGGGGUAGAGUACUUGCUUGACAUGCAAGGGGUCGGCGGUUCGAAGCCGCCCGUGCCUA